rnacentral:rRNA from 1 species
AACGAUGGAGCUUGCUCCAGGCGUCGAGCGGCGGACGGGUGAGUAAUGCAUAGGAAUCUGCCCGGUAGUGGGGGAUAACCUGGGGAAACCCAGGCUAAUACCGCAUACGUCCUACGGGAGAAAGCAGGGGAUCUUCGGACCUUGCGCUAUCGGAUGAGCCUAUGUCGGAUUAGCUUGUUGGUGAGGUAAUGGCUCACCAAGGCGACGAUCCGUAGCUGGUCUGAGAGGAUGAUCAGCCACAUCGGGACUGAGACACGGCCCGAACUCCUACGGGAGGCAGCAGUGGGGAAUAUUGGACAAUGGGCGAAAGCCUGAUCCAGCCAUGCCGCGUGUGUGAAGAAGGCUUUCGGGUUGUAAAGCACUUUCAGUGAGGAAGAAAGCCUUGGGGCUAAUACCCCCAAGGGACGACAUCACUCACAGAAGAAGCACCGGCUAACUCCGUGCCAGCAGCCGCGGUAAUACGGAGGGUGCGAGCGUUAAUCGGAAUUACUGGGCGUAAAGCGCGCGUAGGCGGCGUGAUAAGCCGGUUGUGAAAGCCCCGGGCUCAACCUGGGAACGGCAUCCGGAACUGUCAGGCUAGAGUGCAGGAGAGGAAGGUAGAAUUCCCGGUGUAGCGGUGAAAUGCGUAGAGAUCGGGAGGAAUACCAGUGGCGAAGGCGGCCUUCUGGACUGACACUGACGCUGAGGUGCGAAAGCGUGGGUAGCAAACAGGAUUAGAUACCCUGGUAGUCCACGCCGUAAACGAUGUCGACUAGCCGUUGGGGUCCUUGAGACCUUUGUGGCGCAGUUAACGCGAUAAGUCGACCGCCUGGGGAGUACGGCCGCAAGGUUAAAACUCAAAUGAAUUGACGGGGGCCCGCACAAGCGGUGGAGCAUGUGGUUUAAUUUCGAUGCAACGCGAAGAACCUUACCUACCCUUGACAUCGUGCGAACUUUCCAGAGAUGGAUUGUGCCUUCGGGAGCGCAC